rnacentral:rRNA from 1 species
GACGAACGCUGGCGGCGUGCCUAAUACAUGCGAGUAGAACGCACAGUUUAUACCGUAGCUUGCUACACCAUAGACUGUGAGUUGCGAACGGGUGAGUAACGCGUAGGUAACCUGCCUGGUAGCGGGGGAUAACUAUUGGAAACGAUAGCUAAUACCGCAUAAUAUUGAUUAUUGCAUGAUAAUUGAUUGAAAGAUGCUAUUGCAUCACUACCAGAUGGACCUGCGUUGUAUUAGCUAGUAGGUGAGGUAACGGCUCACCUAGGCGACGAUACAUAGCCGACCUGAGAGGGUGAUCGGCCACACUGGGACUGAGACACGGCCCAGACUCCUACGGGAGGCAGCAGUAGGGAAUCUUCGGCAAUGGACGAAAGUCUGACCGAGCAACGCCGCGUGAGUGAAGAAGGUUUUCGGAUCGUAAAGCUCGGUUGUAAGAGAAGAACGGGUGUGAGAGUGGAAAGUUCACACUGUGACGGUAUCUUACCAGAAAGGGACGGCUAACUACGUG